rnacentral:rRNA from 1 species
GGGUUGUGAGGUUAAGCGACUAAGCGUACACGGUGGAUGCCCUGGCAGUCAGAGGCGAUGAAGGACGUGCUAAUCUGCGAUAAGCGUCGGUAAGGUGAUAUGAACCGUUAUAACCGGCGAUUUCCGAAUGGGGAAACCCAGUGUGUUUCGACACACUAUCAUUAACUGAAUCCAUAGGUUAAUGAGGCGAACCGGGGGAACUGAAACAUCUAAGUACCCCGAGGAAAAGAAAUCAACCGAGAUUCCCCCAGUAGCGGCGAGCGAACGGGGAGCAGCCCAGAGCCUGAAUCAGUGUGUGUGUUAGUGGAAGCGUCUGGAAAGGCGCGCGAUACAGGGUGACAGCCCCGUACACAAAAAUGCACAUACUGUGAGCUCGAUGAGUAGGGCGGGACACGUGGUAUCCUGUCUGAAUAUGGGGGGACCAUCCUCCAAGGCUAAAUACUCCUGACUGACCGAUAGUGAACCAGUACCGUGAGGGAAAGGCGAAAAGAACCCCGGCGAGGGGAGUGAAAAAGAACCUGAAACCGUGUACGUACAAGCAGUGGGAGCCUCUUAAUGGGGUGACUGCGUACCUUUUGUAUAAUGGGUCAGCGACUUAUAUUCUGUAGCAAGGUUAACCGAAUAGGGGAGCCGAAGGGAAACCGAGUCUUAACUGGGCGUUAAGUUGCAGGGUAUAGACCCGAAACCCGGUGAUCUAGCCAUGGGCAGGUUGAAGGUUGGGUAACACUAACUGGAGGACCGAACCGACUAAUGUUGAAAAAUUAGCGGAUGACUUGUGGCUGGGGGUGAAAGGCCAAUCAAACCGGGAGAUAGCUGGUUCUCCCCGAAAGCUAUUUAGGUAGCGCCUCGUGAAUUCAUCUCCGGGGGUAGAGCACUGUUUCGGCAAGGGGGUCAUCCCGACUUACCAACCCGAUGCAAACUGCGAAUACCGGAGAAUGUUAUCACGGGAGACACACGGCGGGUGCUAACGUCCGUCGUGAAGAGGGAAACAACCCAGACCGCCAGCUAAGGUCCCAAAGUCAUGGUUAAGUGGGAAACGAUGUGGGAAGGCCCAGACAGCCAGGAUGUUGGCUUAGAAGCAGCCAUCAUUUAAAGAAAGCGUAAUAGCUCACUGGUCGAGUCGGCCUGCGCGGAAGAUGUAACGGGGCUAAACCAUGCACCGAAGCUGCGGCAGCGACACUAUGUGUUGUUGGGUAGGGGAGCGUUCUGUAAGCCUGUGAAGGUGUACUGUGAGGUAUGCUGGAGGUAUCAGAAGUGCGAAUGCUGACAUAAGUAACGAUAAAGCGGGUGAAAAGCCCGCUCGCCGGAAGACCAAGGGUUCCUGUCCAACGUUAAUCGGGGCAGGGUGAGUCGACCCCUAAGGCGAGGCCGAAAGGCGUAGUCGAUGGGAAACAGGUUAAUAUUCCUGUACUUGGUGUUACUGCGAAGGGGGGACGGAGAAGGCUAUGUUGGCCGGGCGACGGUUGUCCCGGUUUAAGCGUGUAGGCUGGUUUUCCAGGCAAAUCCGGAAAAUCAAGGCUGAGGCGUGAUGACGAGGCACUACGGUGCUGAAGCAACAAAUGCCCUGCUUCCAGGAAAAGCCUCUAAGCAUCAGGUAACAUCAAAUCGUACCCCAAACCGACACAGGUGGUCAGGUAGAGAAUACCAAGGCGCUUGAGAGAACUCGGGUGAAGGAACUAGGCAAAAUGGUGCCGUAACUUCGGGAGAAGGCACGCUGAUAUGUAGGUGAAGUCCCUUGCGGAUGGAGCUGAAAUCAGUCGAAGAUACCAGCUGGCUGCAACUGUUUAUUAAAAACACAGCACUGUGCAAACACGAAAGUGGACGUAUACGGUGUGACGCCUGCCCGGUGCCGGAAGGUUAAUUGAUGGGGUUAGCGGUAACGCGAAGCUCUUGAUCGAAGCCCCGGUAAACGGCGGCCGUAACUAUAACGGUCCUAAGGUAGCGAAAUUCCUUGUCGGGUAAGUUCCGACCUGCACGAAUGGCGUAAUGAUGGCCAGGCUGUCUCCACCCGAGACUCAGUGAAAUUGAACUCGCUGUGAAGAUGCAGUGUACCCGCGGCAAGACGGAAAGACCCCGUGAACCUUUACUAUAGCUUGACACUGAACAUUGAGCCUUGAUGUGUAGGAUAGGUGGGAGGCUUUGAAGUGUGGACGCCAGUCUGCAUGGAGCCGACCUUGAAAUACCACCCUUUAAUGUUUGAUGUUCUAACGUUGGCCCCUUACCGGGGUUGCGGACAGUGUCUGGUGGGUAGUUUGACUGGGGCGGUCUCCUCCUAAAGAGUAACGGAGGAGCACGAAGGUUGGCUAAUCCUGGUCGGACAUCAGGAGGUUAGUGCAAUGGCAUAAGCCAGCUUGACUGCGAGCGUGACGGCGCGAGCAGGUGCGAAAGCAGGUCAUAGUGAUCCGGUGGUUCUGAAUGGAAGGGCCAUCGCUCAACGGAUAAAAGGUACUCCGGGGAUAACAGGCUGAUACCGCCCAAGAGUUCAUAUCGACGGCGGUGUUUGGCACCUCGAUGUCGGCUCAUCACAUCCUGGGGCUGAAGUAGGUCCCAAGGGUAUGGCUGUUCGCCAUUUAAAGUGGUACGCGAGCUGGGUUUAGAACGUCGUGAGACAGUUCGGUCCCUAUCUGCCGUGGGCGCUGGAGAACUGAGGGGGGCUGCUCCUAGUACGAGAGGACCGGAGUGGACGCAUCACUGGUGUUCGGGUUGUCAUGCCAAUGGCACUGCCCGGUAGCUAAAUGCGGAAGAGAUAAGUGCUGAAAGCAUCUAAGCACGAAACUUGCCCCGAGAUGAGUUCUCCCUGACUCCUUGAGAGUCCUGAAGGAACGUUGAAGACGACGACGUUGAUAGGCCGGGUGUGUAAGCGCAGCGAUGCGUUGAGCUAACCGGUACUAAUGAACCGUGAGGCUUAACCUUACAACGCCGAAG